ACAGCACUGCCGCACAAUAGCUCAGCGUAGCACCCAACCGCGAGCAAUUGCUAUAAUGAUAACUCUCGCUCGUCCGAUGUGCGGGGGCCACUCCAAUUUCGUGGCUUCGCCGUCAGCUAGCUCUGGGGCCAUAACCUAUCUCAAGGCACGUCGAUUCAGAAGAGGCUGAUGAUGAGGUACUGGAGCUUCUUCUCGUCAGACCCGAUGUGCCUUCAUCUAAACAUACUCAAGGGUAAAAAGCUGGCACUUUGAGUAUGGAUAAUUCAACUAACCACUUGAUACCAGUUGUUCUAGCGUACAAUUGCUUUUAAACAAUUCGACAUCUUUACCAUCAAAUGACACAAAAAUAUCGGAUAUUUUCUUGCUCCAAUUCCAGAAACAAAGAGAAUGAUAGUUUGUUUUUAAUCCCUUAAGUAGGGAUUUCAAAACCUGAAAAAAAUUAAUACAUACAUAAAUCGUGAAUGAUAUUGAUACUUAUAAAAAAUAAGUUACCUUAACAGCAGUUGAGUCUAAGCCAAAAAUUCUGCUCCCAUCAAUUACAACUAACAAUUCGGAGCCCAAGUGCUGAGAAGACUGUCUAAUUAUUACAUCUUUCACAUAUUCAGCCGAUGGAUAUGUUAUGCUCCUGUCAGGGGCUACAAUAAUCACUUCCGUGUUCAAAAUCUAUCAACGGUUAUUUUUUAUCCAACCAGGGGAAAACCAAUAAAUAUAAAUUACAGAUGUUUUUUCAAUUGACAAAUCCGGUUUAGCCGCCUCAUAAAAGAUAAAUAGGGCAUUGAUUCCGAUGCCAAUCAACAUGCCGUAGUCUAUUCCAAUGAUUAGAGAAGAGAUGAAGGUUGCGUAGAGAGGUACCAAGUCAGUUUCUGAAAAAAGUACGUGCUCAAUGAACACGAUUAUAUAUUUAAUAGUUUCUAAACAACUCACUCUUAGACUUCCAAAGAGAUAUGGACAAUUCGUGAAUUUCAAUCAUGAACAUCACGGCGCAAAUAACAAUUGCUGCAAGUGUCGCUUUCGGCAUGAACUUCAACGUGGAGGUCAGCAAUCCAAGACAUAGCAAUACAAAAGCCCCUAUGAAUAAGCCACCUAAUUGUGUUCGCACACCAGAAGCGUCGUUCACAGCAGUCCUUGUAAAAGAACCAGUGAUAGGAAAGGACUGGAAAAACGAGCCCAAAAUGUUGCCCAAGCCAAGGACGAUCAUCUCUUGGGUCGCGUCAAUUGACUCUCCGUUUGCUUAAAAGCAAUGCUUUGGCAAUUGCUAUCGAAUCCAGCACAAGCACAAACGGUAUGAUGAUGCUUGAGGAGAGCUGCGCAAAAGCUUCUUGAAAAG